rnacentral:rRNA from 1 species
CAAUAGCGUAUAUUAAAGUUGUUGCGGUUAAAAAGCUCGUAGUUGGAGUUCUGCCAGGUGACGCUCGUCCGCCCAAGUGGUGUGUACAGGGCGUGCAUCUGGCCCUUUCAAGGGGAACGUGUCUGCACUUUACUGUGUGGUGCGAGAUCCUUGACUUUUACUUUGAGGAAAUCAGAGUGUUCCAAGCAGGCUCUCGUCGUGUAUAGCUCAGCAUGGAAUAAUAGCAUUGGACUUCGUUUCUAAGCUGUUGGUUGCAAGAAGCGAGGUAAUGAUGAAGAGGGAUAGUUGGGGGCAUUCGUAUUUAACUGUCAGAGGUGAAAUUCUAGGAUUUGUUAAAGACGGACUACUGCGAAAGCAUCUGCCAUGGAUGUUUUCAUUG